CACCGAGGAAGUGGCGUGAGUCCGGCCGUUUGCUUGUCAAGAAUGCUUUUUGUUUGACAGGCAGAGUAUUUAAUUUGAUCAGCUAUGUCACUUAAUGAGGGCAAGAAACCAAGCGAUACCUGGUACCCAGCCCAACCGUAAAAGGUUACCGCAUUAUGAAAAAUGUGUUAGUCCAGAGAAACCAACAGCCUGUCUUAAAUGUUGAUGCUUGAACUGAAUUCUAACCAACCUAGCUAACCGUGGGAAGUUAAAAUGUCUGAGAUGGCACUACGUGAUGUACCUGGCAAACAGAACGAAACGUUUUACGAAUAUUGGCAUGGUGGUUAUAUCCCAAAUCAUUGGAAAUGGGACAUGUUUUCAACAGUUUUAUAUUUUGUUUUGGUCAAUUUCAGAAGACUAGAAACUUAUAAAUCCAGUAGAAUAAGUACCAGCCGAUCACCAGUUUAGUUGUCAAAUACAGUAUUUUGCUCCCAAAUACAUUGUA